rnacentral:rRNA from 1 species
AGAAUCAACGCUGGCGGCGUGCCUAACACAUGCAAGUCGAACGGGAAAGUGGAGCAAUCCAUGAGUAUAGUGGCGACCGGGUGAGUAACACGUGACUAACCUACCCUUGAGUGGGGAUAACCUCGGGAAACCGGGCUAAUACCGCAUAAAAUCUUCGGGAUGAGAAGCUGGAGAUCAAAGGAGCAAUUCGCUUUUUGGAGGGGGUCGCGGCUGAUUAGCUAGUUGCGGGUAACGCCACAAGGCUUUGAUCGGUA